AUGCCUGCCUGCCUCCCGGGCGAAGGCGGACCACCCACCACUGGGGGAAUAAGUCGCACAUGGAGCCCGUUGCUUGGUCACUUGGCAUCUGGUUUUACUUUAUCAUUACUAUUGCUAUUUUACCUCGGCUGUCUUCUGUGCAUCCUUCCAGUGAAUUUAGCAUCUCCUCAUCUCUGGAAAGACCCAGGAGCCGCACCCUAGUUCUCCCUCUUAUGCCACUCUCACCUCCAGGGACACCCUGUUCUCUGGCAACUGUUCCCCCCCGCCAGCACCUGCGCCUGGACAUUUUCUGAUUCUCAGCCGGGCUCACUGAGCUGCCUCCCCGCAGUAUUAUCUGCCUUGGAGAGGCUUCAGGGUGGGAGGGAGAAUGCGGGGCAUCACCGAGGGGACCUGACAGAGGAGGGUGAAAAAGCAGCCUGUGGCAACAGGUGAAGGGAGCUGUUUCCGAGGAGGACGACAAGGAGUGUAGAGGGUGAACAAAGAGGGAUCCAUACCCGUAAGAUGCUCCCAGCUAAUAGAGAAAGCAGACAUACUUCCUGUAGCUCUCUGGACAAGCCUCUUCUUAUGUCUGGCUUCCUGGGCCGUGGGUGUCAAAAGUGCCUAGACCGUGGCAGGUACCCAGGAGGAACUCAAUGAAUAUUUGGUGAAUGAAUGAGCCAAUGGACAAAAGAUCACAUUUGGAGUUUACAGAAUUUCUCAUUAGAUUCUGGUUCUGAUGUCAAUUCCUUUCUCCCCUGCUCCCUUGGAAGAGAUGCCUGUCCUUAGAAAGCUCUAACGAACUCUAGCCUGAUUUGCUGAUGAGGCCUUCAGAUGGUAUUUCUGCAUUGUUGCUUACUUUUUAAGAAGAGGUUGUUGGAAGACAGGACAUUUUAAAGCCAUAAUGGAAUCUGAGCUAAAGCGUACAAAACGAAAGCACCAGGAUGUAGGACUACAGAAUCCCAAUCUAAUCACGAGAAAAACAUCAGACACACACAACUGAGGGACAUUCCACAAAAUACUGAAUCAGUAACUCCUCCAAACCAGCAAGGUCAUCAAAAAAAGGAAAGUCUGAGAAACCAUCACAGCCAAGAGGACCCUAAGGAGACAGGAUCAUGAGAUGUAAUGUGGGAUCUGGGGGAUGGGUGGGGGGGGGAUACAAGCUGAGGGAAACUUAGGAAAUCUGAACAAAGUGUGGAUUUUCCUUCAUAACAAUGUUAUCAGUAUUAUUAGUUCAUCAAUUGUAACAAAUGUACCAUACUAAUGUAAGAUGUUAAUAAUGGGAGAAACUGGUGUCAGGUGUAUGGGGGCACUGUAAAUCUUCUCUCAUUUUCUAUAAAUCUAAAACUGUUCUAAAAAUUAAAGUCUGUUAUAUAUA